rnacentral:rRNA from 1 species
ACGGAAGGCAGCAGUGGGGAAUAUUGGGCAAUGGGGGAAACCCUGAUCCAGCGACGCCGCGUGAGUGAAGAAGUAUUUCGGUAUGUAAAGCUCUAUCAGCAGGGAAGAUGAUGACGGUACCUGACUAAGAAGCCCCGGCUAACUACGUGCCAGCAGCCGCGGUAAUACGUAGGGGGCAAGCGUUAUCCGGAUUUACUGGGUGUAAAGGGAGCGUAGGCGGCGAUGCAAGUCAGAGGUGAAAACCCGGGGCUCAACUCCGAGGACUGCCUUUGAAACUGCGUUGCUAGAGUGCAGGAGAGGCAAGCGGAAUUCCUAGUGUAGCGGUGAAAUGCGUAGAUAUUAGGAAGAACACCGGUGGCGAAGGCGGCUUGCUGGACUGAGACUGACGCUGAGGCUCGAAAGCGUGGGGAGCAAACAGGAUUAGAUACCCUGGUA